AUGGCAUCUAAGGGAGUAUGUCAGCCAAACAGAAAACUUGACCCAACACCAAGCUCAUUGUCAGAAUCACAGCUGCCUCAUCAACCAAUGAGACUGAAAGGGAGGCAGCCGGGAAGUCAGGUGCCGAGGCUGGAAAGACUCAGUGCCAGACCCAUUGGCAGUUGGCCCUUCAGCUGCUGUACAGCCCCGGUGGGGCCCAGGGGUAUUGAAUCUGGUGUUGGACCACAGGAGGAGAGUGAAGUGUACAACCAAUAUUGUCAACAGCAAGAUCGUCAAACUCUGGAUAUCUGCUCCAACUGUCUCCUCUGCUGCAUCGUCCUUUCUAACAGAGUUGACUUGGGGCUGGUGAUACUCACACACUUCUCUCAUCCAGAGCUUCAUGGAUAA
ensembl:lncRNA